rnacentral:rRNA from 1 species
UUGUCCGGAAUUACUGGGUGUAAGGGAGCGCAGGCGGAAGCGCAAGUUGGAUGUGAACCCAUGGGCUCAACCCAUGGCCUGCAUCCAAAACUGUGUUUCUUGAGUAGUGCAGAGGUAGGCGGAAUUCCCGGUGUAGCGGUGGAAUGCGUAGAUAUCGGGAGGAACACCAGUGGCGAAGGCGGCCUACUGGGGCACCAACUGACGCUGAGGCUCGAAAGCAUGGGGUA